rnacentral:tRNA from 1 species
GGGGCCAUAGUGUAGCUUGGCUAUCACCGGAGGCUGGGGGCCUUCUAACCGGGGUUCGAAUCCUCGUGGCCCCA